rnacentral:lncRNA from 1 species
GAAGUUUAAUAUAUAUAUGAACUGUUUUCAAGAUAUCAGAGAUUAUGUGAAGGCAUCGAUAUUCCUUUCAAAAGUAGGACAGGAGGCGUUGGAGAUAUACAGAUAUUUUGAACUAUUAGACGCCGAGAGAUUUGAGUACAAGGAAAAGGAGAAACAGAAAGUUGGGAGGAUUCCUAUUUGUGGAUUAGGCGAAUGUCUGCCAAUUGUGAAUUUGCGUCUCAGCGGGAGAGAAACUUGAGAGACAAAUUGGUGUUCUCUAUACUGGACUCGCAAGAAGAUUUAAAAAAGACACUGCUAUCUAGGGCAUAACUGACCUUAGAUCUAUGCCUAAAGGAAAUGAUACUUUAUGAAAAAACAAUUAAGGUCAAUGAUGUGCGUGUCCCAGGAGAUGGACAGUCUAAAAAUGGAUCAGACAAAAAGUUACAGAGAGAAAAGAGAGCUUUGUAGAUGGUAUGGAGCUAAGGAACAGCACAAACAAACAGAAUGCCCAGCUCAAAAAUGCAAGGCAAAGUCUCAAAAGGUGGAACACUACGAAAGGAUGUGCUGGAUAAACCAGGAUAAAAACAGAAGAGUAGAGGAGGUGGUGGAUGAAACACCAGAUAUUCAAGAGAUAAACACGUCUCCUCAGUUUUUUCCUAGAUACCAUUGAGGAGGAAGAGUGUGGUACAGCAUGGUACAUUACCAUGUUGGCAAAUGGGAUACCUGUCAAAGUAAAGGUGGAUACAGGAGCUAAUGUUACGGUCUUUCCGAAAUUAUAUAUAAAGACACUGAAAGUAAAAACAAUGGAAAAGGUGGGACCAGCAAGAGGUCCAGAUGGGAAUCUAAUAGAAAUGAAAGGCGGAUCGUGGAAUGAGUUUGAUUGUGGAGAAAGAAAACUAAAGGGAAAAGUAAUUUUUGAAAAUGUAAAGAGACCUCUACUGGGAUAUAGCGAAAAUUAAUUAAAAAAACUAUUGAUCAUUUGGAAUUUCCGAGUAUUCCGGGGGAAUAUAAAAUAGAACUAAGGAAAGAAGUAAUCCCAUGGGCCGAAUUGGUAGCAAGUAAAGUUCCAAUACCUGUGUAUGAUUUAGUAAAAGAGGAAAUAAAAAAAAAUAGAAAAUUA